rnacentral:rRNA from 1 species
AACGAACGCUGGCGGCAUGCCUAACACAUGCAAGUCGAACGAGACCUUCGGGUCUAGUGGCGCACGGGUGCGUAACGCGUGGGAAUCUACCCUUGGGUUCGGAAUAACAGCUAGAAAUGGCUGCUAAUACCGGAUGAUGUCUUCGGACCAAAGAUUUAUCGCCCAGGGAUGAGCCCGCGUAGGAUUAGCUUGUUGGUGAGGUAAAGGCUCACCAAGGCGACGAUCUGUAGCGGGUCUGAGAGGAUGAUCCGCCACACUGGAACUGAGACACGGUCCAGACUCCUACGGGAGGCAGCAGUGGGGAAUUUUGGACAAUGGGCGCAAGCCUGAUCCAGCCAUGCCGCGUGAGUGAAGAAGGCCUUCGGGUUGUAAAGCUCUUUCAGCCGGGAAGAAAACGCAUGGGUUAAUACCCUGUGUGGAUGACGGUACCGGAAUAAGAAGCACCGGCUAACUACGUG